UACGAAGGGGGCUAGCGUUGUUCGGAAUCACUGGGCGUAAAGCGCACGUAGGCGGAUGUGUCAGUCAGGGGUGAAAUCCCGGGGCUCAACCUCGGAACUGCCUUUGAUACAGCACGUCUCGAGUCCGGAAGAGGUGGGUGGAAUUCCUAGUGUAGAGGUGAAAUUCGUAGAUAUUAGGAAGAACACCGGUGGCGAAGGCGGCCCACUGGUCCGGUACUGACGCUGAGGUGCGAAAGCGUGGGGAGCGAACAGG
rnacentral:rRNA from 1 species